AUUUUAUUUUCAGGGUCAAUAUAAAUAAUCAGAACGUGAAUAUAUAGAAAUAUUUAACCUAACCAACCGACAUGGUUUCCUUUCGAGAAAGCAUGCGAGGUAUGCAAUAAUCAAAGCAUUGUAAAUUGCAACGCUGUAAAAUAUAUUUUCUAUAACAAUAGAAAUAAUUCCAUUUAUAAUAGAAGUAUUUUGAAAUCAUUGAUAUAACGAUCGAUGUUUAAAUCGAUUGUCGAUACAUGACAAUGGAAUAAUAAUGCGGAUGAAAAACGAUUGCAACGUUUUGCGAAUGGCGGCCAUAUUUAUCCGCAUCGUCAUCGAUCGGCAAGGAGCACGCAGUGUCAAGUGAAAAGGCGAAGCCACCAUCGUCAUCGAACUGCCAUCUGGCAGUGAAAAUGUCUUUAUAGAGAGAGAGAAUAUCGACCCAUUAAUAUCCAUCAAAAAAAGGUAUCUCGAUGACUUCGAAUGAACGAUCAUUAUGAAAAAUGUUUUAUCGUUGAUUUCUCGAUCUCGAGAAUGAAGCGCAAGGUCAAUCUUCUCGGACACAAGGAGGUCAACAGGGCACGACUUGCGUAACUUUGGCUUAGGGCCAGUUUGUGCCAAAGCACAGCGCCAGAGUUCAAUGGAGUAACGUCGAACGAAAAUGUGUAUUUAUACAUCUCGAAAAGAUUCGUAGAUUCGUCGUCGUGGACCUUGCACAGAAUAGAACAUCGUUAAAUGCGUCCCUUUGACGUCAACGUCAAAGUACUUAUCCUGAUGUUCAAGGCACUUUUCGUAUAAAAGUUCGAGACAAUUGGGCAUAUGCAUUUUGUUCGGCUUCCAACCUCGUUCCUCCCACUAUAUUUAUUUCCGUAUUUAUUUGUCAAAUAUUACGCAUAUCCUUUGCCAAAAUAUUCGUGUGUAUUCUAAUUAAAUAUAUUAUUUUCUUAUAAACGUA
rnacentral:lncRNA from 1 species